rnacentral:rRNA from 1 species
UGCAACCUGAGCUCAGGCGUGACUACCCGCUGAACUUAAGCAUAUCAUUUAGCGGAGGAAAAA